CCCCUAGACGUUCUGGGCUGCACGCGCGCUACACUGAUGUGUCCAGUAAGCACCUAACCUCUUCCGAAAGGAACGGGUAACCUUUGCAAAGCACAUCGUGAUGGGGAUAGAUUAUUGCAAUUAUUAGUCUUGAACGAGGAAUUCCUAGUAAGCACAAGUCAUCAGCUUGUGUUGAUUACGUCCCUGCCCUUUGUACACACCGCCCGUCGCUCCUACCGAUUGAAUGUUCCGGUGAGCUCUUCGGACUGCGCGGUCUGCAGUUUCUGCGUUCCGUGCGGAAAGUUGCGCAAACCUUAACAUUUAGAGGAAGGAGAAGUCGUAACA
rnacentral:rRNA from 1 species